rnacentral:rRNA from 1 species
AACGAACGCUGGCGGCAUGCCUAACACAUGCAAGUCGAACGAGACCUUCGGGUCUAGUGGCGCACGGGUGCGUAACGCGUUGGAACCUGCCCUUAGGUUCGGAAUAACUCCCCGAAAGGGGUGCUAAUACCGGAUAAUGUCUUCGGACCAAAGAUUUAUCGCCUUUGGAUGGGCCCGCGUUGGAUUAGCUAGUUGGUAGGGUAAAAGCCUACCAAGGCGACGAUCCAUAGCUGGUCUGAGAGGAUGAUCAGCCACACUGGGAAUGAGACACGGCCCAGACUACUACGGGAGGGAGCAGAGGGGAAUAUUGGAAAAUGGGCGAAAGCCUGAUCAAGCAAUGACGCGUGAGUGAUGAAGGCAUUAGGGUUGUAAAGCUCUUUUACCCGGGAUGAUAAUGACAGUACCGGGAGAAUAAGCUCCGGCUAACUCCGUG